UAAAAAAUAAACUCUCGAGGCCUCUCCCCCGCUGUGCCAUCGAUCUGCAUAAAUCCCUCGCCGGAGCGCACUCCCUCCGCUGCCAUGGCUCUCCAGUGGGGGAGAGUCUCCACGCACAUUGGGCGUAUUUCUCCAUCCUCGUCGCGUCACCGUCGACGUCAGUGAGCAGGGGAGGCGGCCACCGUGAGAGGAGGAGGGGGACGAGGAGCACUGGGGUCGCACGUCGGCACAUCUCCGUUGCACCCCACGCCGGGGACCCGUGCGGAAGCGAAGGGCCGAAGGGGAUGCGCGUCGGAGCGGCAGGGGACGCCGGCCGGCUCUGUUACGGUCUGUCACAAAGGGUGAAGCCAUAUAUCUGCACAAUUGCGUUGAAGCUUGACGGGCGGCUGGAACAACAUUCAGUUGAAUCUCUCCGACCGGAUGAAAAGAGGAGGAGCUGCCGCCCGAGUUGAAGCUCUACCUUCCAGUUCUUCAGAUAUGGUGGAGGGAGAGAGUAGACACCACUGUUCGUGGCUUCCCAGGAGGCAGGAGCCCCGGUGACAUCGACGCGUAUCGCUGCGACAUCCAUUAGCGCAUAGAUAUGCAUAAAGCAUCAGAAUGUUUAAUUGUACGCUAGUUGUUGUCUGAAUUGACCUGUGUAAAGAUGUCGCUAACUGAACCCUUGUCCAGUACUGUACCUGCCGGUGCAAGUGCGUUGUUGCAAGCAAAUGCCAUACGGGCCACCCCGGUGCCUAGCCUUCCAUUUAAUCUGGAAAGAGGAUUUUGUGCAACCCAUUUUAUUUUUAUGAAUUUCUC